UACGUAGGGACCAAGCGUUGUUCGGAUUUACUGGGCGUAAAGGGCGCGUAGGCGGCAAUUCAAGUCAUCUGUGAAAUCUCCGGGCUUAACUCGGAACGGUCAGGUGAUACUGCUUUGCUAGAGUGCAGAAGGGGCAAUCGGAAUUCUUGGUGUAGCGGUGAAAUGCGUAGAUAUCAAGAGGAACACCUGAGGUGAAGACGGGUUGCUGGGCUGACACUGACGCUGAGGCGCGAAAGCUAGGGGAGCAAACGGGG
rnacentral:rRNA from 1 species